UGGGGAAUAUUGGACAAUGGGCGCAAGCCUGAUCCAGCCAUGCCGCGUGAGUGACGAAGGCCUUAGGGUUGUAAAGCUCUUUUGGCGGGGAAGAUAAUGACGGUACCCGCAGAAUAAGCUCCGGCUAACUUCGUGCCAGCAGCCGCGGUAAUACGAAGGGAGCUAGCGUUGUUCGGAAUCACUGGGCGUAAAGCGCACGUAGGUGGGCAGCUAAGUCAGGGGUGAAAGCCCGAGGCUCAACCUCGGAAUUGCCUCUGAUACUGGCUGUCUAGAGUCCGAGAGAGGUGGGUGGAAUUCCUAGUGUAGAGGUGAAAUUCGUAGAUAUUAGGAAGAACACCGGUGGCGAAGGCGGCCCACUGGCUCGGUACUGACACUGAGGUGCGAAAGCGUGGGGAGCAAACAGGAUUAGAUACCCAAGUAGUCCCUGAGCGGGCUGGCAAGGCGCAU
rnacentral:rRNA from 1 species